CCUACGGGGGGCAGCAGUGAGGAAUAUUGGUCAAUGGACGCAAGCCUGAACCAGCCAUGCCGCGUGCAGGAAGACGGCUCUAUGAGUUGUAAACCGCUUUUGUACGAGGGUAAACGCAGAUACGCGUAUCUGUCUGAAAGUAUCGUACGAAUAAGGAUCGGCUAACUCCGUGCCAGCAGCCGCGGUAAUACGGAGGAUUCAAGCGUUAUCCGGAUUUAUUGGGUUUAAAGGGUGCGUAGGCGGUCGGAUAAGUUAGAGGUGAAAGCCCGAGGCUCAACUUCGGAAUUGCCUUUGAAACUGGUCGGCUAGAGAGUAGUUGAGGUAGGGGGAAUGCAUGGUGUAGCGGUGAAAUGCUUAGAGAUCAUGAAGAACACCGAUUGCGAAGGCAGCUUACCAAGCUACUACUGACGUUGAGGAACGAAAGCGUGGGGAGCAAACAGGAUUAGAUACCCGGGUAGUC
rnacentral:rRNA from 1 species